CAGGCAAAUUGUGUAAAUAUGAAAUACAUGAAAUAGAUGAUAAAAAUAUAUUGUAAAGCUACACAAAAGGGUUAAGUAAAAUAAAUUAAAGAUUAUUCUUUAAAAAUGUAGCCAUAAUUGUCAACCAUUUUCCAAAGUGUACAAAACAUACACUUUGUCCGACCCCCCACCCUUCCUAAAAAAGUGUACAUCAACCAUUUUCAGAUUUCAAGACAAGAAUCAAUCAUUCCUAAUAAAAAGAAGAUCAUGUCUAUUAUUGUUCAGAUUCAUAUCAAAAUUUGCAUUGAAAAUAGAUUGAAAAAUAUCUGGCUGUUUUAUUUUUAUUUUUUUUUAAAAGGCGUACGGUAAAAUUUUGAUUGUUUAACCCCCUACGUUUUGUACACUUUGGAAAAUGGUUGACAAUUAUGUAUGACCCCUAACCUUAUGGCUGUUGUGACUGGAAAGGAAGAGCA
rnacentral:lncRNA from 1 species